rnacentral:misc_RNA from 1 species
AACGCACCUUGCGCCUUUUCGGAGGCAUGCCUGUUUCAGUCUCAGUAAAAUCAAUCAAAAUCUUUUUUUUUCUUUGAAAAGGGGAUUUUGGAAUUGGGCCAUCUCGGAGAAUAUGGGUUUAUAUCACCCCUCCAUUCCGAGAGGUCUGAAAUUUUGGUCGGGUCCCUGAGAAUUUCGAUGGAUCCCUAGCGACAAAUAGUAGUUUUACAAAACUUUUUGCUCCGCUUUGGGGGUUCGUUAAUAUCGAUUUCUCGGUGGAAUUUCUCGGUUGCAGGAUUUUUGGGAGAGAGAAGGGCAAGAAAGAAAUUUUUUGACCCCCUCUUCCACUACAAUCUUGGGCUGAAAUCAGGCAAGACUACCCGCUGAACUUAA